GCUGGCGGCGGCGGAGACCAGCGGCUGAACACGACACUGCAGCAAGCUGCGGCUGUAGCAAAUUGAAGUACACUCCCAUCGACAACUGAAGAAUGAGGAUCACCAGCAUAACCAGGAUUAUCUGUCUUACUCUGGUGAUCCUGGAGUUGACCGCGUCGUCACCUCUCCCCCAGAGCGGGGGCUUAAAGACACCAAAUGACCUGCUGACCUGGAAUAAUCGGCCCAACCUGGCUACG